GGGAACACAUGCAAGUCGAACGAUGGAACACUUCGGUGGGGAUUAGUGGCGAACGGGUGAGUAACACGUGGGCAAUCUGCCCUGCACUCUGGGACAAGCCCUGGAAACGGGGUCUAAUACCGGAUACUGAUCCUUCUGGGCAUCCAGAGGGUUCGAAAGCUCCGGCGGUGCAGGAUGAGCCCGCGGCCUAUCAGCUUGUUGGUGAGGUAAUGGCUCACCAAGGCGACGACGGGUAGCCGGCCUGAGAGGGCGACCGGCCACACUGGGACUGAGACACGGCCCGAGCUCCUACGGGAGGCACAGUGGGGAAUAUUGCACAAUGGGCGCAACCCUGAUGCACGACGCCGCGUGAGGGAUGACGGCCUUCGGGUUGUAACCCUCUUUCAGCAGGGAAAACGAGAUGACGGUACCUGCAGAAAAAAACGCCGGUAACUACUUCCAGCACCCGCGGUAAUACGUAGGGCGCACCUUUUGUCCGGAAUUAUUGGGCGUAAAGAC
rnacentral:rRNA from 1 species